rnacentral:rRNA from 1 species
GAUGAACGCUGGCGGCGUGCUUAACACAUGCAAGUCGAACGAAGCACUCUACUUGAUUUCCUUCGGGAUUGAUUGUUCUGUGACUGAGUGGCGGACGGGUGAGUAACGCGUGGAUAACCUGCCUCACACAGGGGGAUAACAGUUGGAAACGGCUGCUAAUACCGCAUAAGCGCACAGCACCGCAUGGUGCAGUGUGAAAAACUCCGGUGGUGUGAGAUGGAUCCGCGUCUGAUUAGCUUGUUGGCGGGGUAACGGCCCACCAAGGCGACGAUCAGUAGCCGGCCUGAGAGGGCGACCGGCCACAUUGGGACUGAGACACGGCCCAGACUCCUACGGGAGGCAGCAGUGGGGAAUAUUGCACAAUGGGGGAAACCCUGAUGCAGCGACGCCGCGUGAGCGAUGAAGUAUUUCGGUAUGUAAAGCUCUAUCAGCAGGGAAGAUAAUGACGGUACCUGACUAAGAAGCU